AAUUAGGUUCACCAACUUUCUGCCCAUGCCCAUGCCUUGCCUCUAACUGCUCCAACUGCUCCCAAUCAACACUGCACUUCUCUUCCCACUCUCAACAACAACAAAAAAAAAAACGUCACAACCAUGUAUUAGCAAAAAGGGUCAAGCCUAAUACAAGAUUUAAUAAAUACACCAUGGAGGAAAAUAUCGGGAUAUAUCGGCGAUAUAUCUUGUAUCGGGAGGUGGCGACACGGCAUUUCAAGGAGAAAAAUCGAAGGACGAUUUUUCGCAAAAAAUCGCCAAUAAAUCGACGAUAUAUCGGUGAAAAUCGAUAAAUCGGCGAUUUCCCCAAAUAAUCGCCUGUGGCCGUAGAAAAUCGCCGAUAAAUCGCCGACUUUUUGGAGAUAUUUCGCUCCUCUCUCCAGCACGAUCUGACGGCCCAGAUCACGCCCGCGUUGAUCCAACGGCCAGAUUUGUCCUAGUUUGUGAUCCAACGGCCAUAUUUGAAUUUCAACGGUAAAUUGGUGUUCCAACGGCUAUUUUGGCCCAAAUUCCUUCUAUAAAUAGCCAUUUUUCCAUCAAUUUCACCCAUUUUUGCUUUCAUUCUUCAUUUGCUCUCUCAUUACUCCAAUUUUAAAGUAUGUUUAUUUUAAAUUGUAAUUAAUUUUGUUUGCAAUUGUAAUUAAUAUGGAUGAUUUAAUGUUAUUUUUAUAUUCAAUAGUAAUUAAUUUGUAUAUUUUUAUUGAAUUGACUUAGGUUAAUUUGAUUAUUUAAUUAUAAAUUGAUAUGUUUAUUUUAAAUGAUUAUUUGUGAUUUAGUUUCAUAUUUAGAAUGAUUAUUUGUGAUUUAGUUUCAUAUUUAAUUAAUUUAAUUAACAUGCUAAAUUAUUUAAUUAAUUUAAUUAACAUGAACUAGUAUAUUUUGAAUAUGAAAUAUGUUCAUUUUUAUGAUUAUUGAGAUUUUUUUUCAUAUUCAAUUAUGAUUAGUUUUUAAUUUAGUAAAUUUAUCAUAGAAUUAGAUCUAGAUUUAAAAAAUUAACUUAGCUAAAUUAUUUAAUUAGUUUAAUUAACAUGAACUACUAUAUAUGGAAUGUUAAAUAUGUUCAAUUUUUAUGAUUAUCAUGAUUUAGUUUCAUAUCCAAUUAUGAUUAAUUUUUAAUUUAGUAAAUUUUUCAUAGAAUUAGAUUUAGAUUAAAAAAAUUAACUUAGCUAAAUUAUUUAAUUAGUUUAAUUAACAUGAACUACUAUAUAUAUGGAAUAUUAAAUAUGUUCAAUUUUUAUGAUUAUCAUGAUUUAGUUUCAUAUCCAAUUAUGAUUAAUUUUUAAUUUAGUAAAUUUUUCAUGGAAUUAGAUUUAGAUUCAAAAAAUUAACUUAGCUAAAUUAUUUAAUUAGUUUAAUUAACAUGAACUACUAUAUAUGGAAUAUUAAAUAUGUUCAAUUUUUAUGAUUAUCAUGAUUUAGUUUCAUAUCCAAUUAUGAUUAAUUUUUAAUUUAGUAAAUUUUUCAUAGAAUUAGAUUUAGAUUCAAAAAAUUAACUUAGCUAAAUUAUUUAAUUAGUUUAAUUAAAUAUAUGGAAUAUCAACUAUGUUCAUUCUUUAUCAUUAUUUUGUACAUUUCUCAUAUAUUUAAAUUUAAAUAUUGACUUGAUUUUUGUUUACAUUGAAAUCACAUUCAAGUGUAUUUUUAUUGCAAUAGAUUUAGCAUGGCUAGUGAAGGUGGUUCUGCCCUGCCAGGGCGAGAUCCGGCUUGGAAGUAUUGUUUACCAAUUGGGGGUAACCGAAAUGGAACAAUUUGUAAUUUCUGUGGGUUGGUGAUGAAAAGUGGAGGCAUCACGCGAUUCAAGUUCCAUUUAAUGCAUAAAGACCCGCAUAACAACACCAAAAAGUGUCCGAGAGUGCCGCCCGAAGUGAAAGAAGAGAUACGAUUCCUAGUGCAUGACAAAACAAAAGCAAAAGCAAAGAAAAAUGCUGAUAUUGAAGACAUUCGUGCUCAAUUACGUGGCACAAUGGGGACUCAUCAUACACAUUUGGUAGACGAAGAUAAUGAUGAAGAUGUUGAGAAUGAAGAUGUGUAUAUGUAUCCGACAGAUAUGCACCCAAAUGAGCGGGAUGCAUAUCGAUCUGCAGUUCGUGCCUCGAAAGCAUCAAAAUGGGAACGUGAACAAUAUGAGAAUAUUGUAGGGAGCAAACGCAAAACGGGGGAGUCUUCACAGUCUACUGGAUUACCGCCGAUGAUGCGAAAAUCACAUAGUAUGCGACAUUCGCAACAAUCACCCCCUAUUGCCCCUUCGCUUUACAAGUCUUCUGCAGCAAAACAAAAAAAUAUCAAAGAUAUAUUCAAGGGUGGUGCAAUUAAAGAAACGAUGGGACGCUUAAUUAGCAAAUUCUUCAUUUAUGAGAGCGUCGCACCCGCAAAAGCAAAGUCUCAUCACUUCAAGAAUAUGAUUAUUGGUGCACAACAAGCUGGUAAUUACUAAUUUUUGAAAUGUUAUAUUGUGCUAUACUUUUAGUAAGUAUAGUCUUUUGUGACAUGUUUUACAUUUUUUUUUUUAUAUGAAGUGCAGGAAUGGGAAUUGAACCUCCAUCUCCAUUUGACAUAAAGAACAAGUACUUGGAAAUGGAGUACAGAGAAAUGGAAGCUUAUGUGAACCAACAAAGAGAAAAAUGGAAGACAUAUGGGUGCACAAUAAUGUCAGAUGGAUGGACAGGGCCCACGAAAUUAAGUAUUAUUAAUUUCAUGGUUUAUUCUAAAGGGAGCACGGUCUUCCUUAAGUCAGUUGAUGCAUCGAACUAUAUCAAAGACCACAAGUAUAUAUACGACCUAUUGAAGACUGUUAUCAAAGAAGUCGGUAAAGAAAUGUGGUCCAAAUUGCCACAGAUAAUGGGUCGGUGUUCAUGAAAGCAGGGAAACAAUUGAUGAAGAAGUAUAACUUAUACUGGACUCCGUGUGCGGCGCACUGCAUCGACUUAAUCUUUGAAGACAUUGGUAAAAGACCCAGUGUUAUCGAGGUGAUAAACAAUGCUCGCAAGAUAACUAACUUCAUUUACAAUCAUGGUUGGUUACUAGCACAAAUGAGACUGUAUUGUGGUGGAGACAUUGUUCGACCAGGAGCUACAAGGUUUGCUACCAAUUAUAUUGCUCUUGACAGUCUUCUUAAAAAAAGGGUCGAUUUGAAAAAAUUGUUUAUGAGUGAUGAUUGGGCACAACACAAGCUGAGUCGAACAAAACAUGGACGAGAGUUGGAGCAAUUAUUGUUUGACCAUGCGUAUUGGGACAGAAUGACAAAUAUAGUUUCAUUAUAUGAGCCAUUAUACGUGGUGCUUCGACUUAUGGAUUCUGAAGUUGUUCCCACAAUGCCAUUUGUGUAUGAACUUAUGCACGUGAUGAAAAAGAACCUUACGCAUUAAGGAACUGGAGAUUGGAUGUUCAAAAUAAUACAAGAUCGUUGGGAGAAAACACUAAAACAUCCACUUCAUGCAACAGGUACUUAAAUACUAUAUAUCUUUAUAAGUUUUUACUCUGUAUUUAAUUUUGUUUAAAAAAAUACUAACUCUACUUAAUUUUAUUGUAGCAUACUUCUUGAAUCCAAGAUUUCAAUAUAAGCGUGGAGUUGGUAGUGAUCCGGAACUACUUCAAGCGGUCCAUGAUGUUUUUGCAAAAUUAGAUCCAACUACUGAAUCACUUGGUCAAUUUGGAAAUGAGGUAAAUAAAAAACUGUUAUUUGUCUAUAAAACAAUAAUUUCAUUCAUCAAUUUAUUUGAACGUUUACUAACAAAUAUGAUAUUAACAAAUUAAAUGUUGAAUACAUAGCUUGUGCUUUUUCGAGAUGCAAAAAGAGGAUUUGGUGAUUGAGCGGCAAUUGCAGCAAGGUCAACCAUGGUGCCCGGUAAGUCUUUAUAGGAAAAAAUUGAUUAUCAUUAUUGUAAAUUCACCACAUAAGUAUUUAUAUGAUUAUCAAAUUGGUUGCAGCUGAAUGGUGGUUUAUGUAUGGGAAUCAAACACCUACAUUGAGAAAGUUAGUCAUCAAAGUUCUCUCACAAACUGCGUCAUCUACUGCCUAUGAGAGAAAUUGGAGCACGUUUGCUCUCAUCCACACAAAGCAACGAAAUCGUUUGGCUUACUCUCGAUUGGAGCAAUUAGUUUUUUGUUACUAUAAUAUGAGGCUAAAGUUACGCGAUAUGGAGGCAGAAAAUGAUCGAGUUGCUGAAAAAGAUUAUCUUGAUCUUCUUGACAUUUCAGCCGAGGUGGGUGAAAAAGAAGAUAAUCAGUUGUUCCAAUGGGUGAGGCCUAUACACUUGGAUGACGAAGUUGGAAAUCUCGAUCCACGAAUUGCCGCUCAUGCUCGAGAAUUUGGAGUUAAUGUUGAACGUGUGUUGUCUGAAGAAGUUCACUCUGAAAGUUUUAGCAAAGAUACUGAUGAUUCCCACCAAGAGAUUGACUCCACAAGUGCUGGCCAUAGUAGUAGACCUAGUGCUGCAGGUACUUCUGCUUUUGGUUACGAUGGUUCAAGAGGUGGAACUGAUGAUGGAGGUGAUAAUGCGGGAGGAGAUAUUAAUGAACGUCAACAUAGUCAAUUCACCUGUGAAAAUACUUUCACACACUGCACACAGGAUGAAGACCAUGGCUCUAGAAGAGCUGGUCCAGGCAUAGGAGCUAUUGGGAAGCCUUAUAGAGGAAGAGAACGAAUGAUGAAACCAUAUAAUGAGGAGUUACUUUCAGGGAGUUUUGAAUCUAUGAGUAUAGGAACUCAAUUUAGUGACUCCUCGAAUGAGGCUAAUGUCUACCCUCCUCAUGUGAUGAGUUAUGGUCAACCUUCAAGUUCAACAGAUGAAGAGUAUGGUAUGUCGCGUUAUUCACCUUCUAGACAAAUGCCUUACCAAGUUCCAUAUCAGAUGGAAGGAGGAUUGGGCAUUAACACAUGGGUGAACUUUGAGUAUCCUAUCUAUGUAGAGGCAGUGGGUAGGACUCAAGAGAUAUAUGCAUGGCAUGUUAGAAUUUUUAACCAAUAUUAUCGAGGCUCAUUAAGUUGGUACCAAUAUUGUCUCCAACAGCAAGACAACGUUCCUUCAUCUAUCAAUCCCAUUGAACCACAUCGAUCCUCAUUUUGGUACUAAAGGGACAUUGUAAUGUAAUGUGUACAAAUUAUUGCUAUUUAAUGAAAUGAAGUAUUUUAUGUGACUUUAUAAUGAGAACAAUUACAAAAUUAACAUUUCUUAUAGAUCGACAUGAUAUAAUUACAUUUAAUAUCGUAAAUUAUAUCAUAUGUAUAUCAAAUUUUUCUACAAAACAACUUUAAAAUGUCUAUUAUACUUCUAAUUAUAUUAUUAUGAAGUUUUUAACAAUUUUAAGCCUACCAAUAUUUUUUUCCAAAAUAUCCGCCAAAAAUUGAAGUACCGAUAUAUCCGUGAUUACCGAUAUUUUCUUCCAUGAAAUACACUAGCCCAAAUCCAACUAAUAUAAUAGGCCCAAAUUUCAAUCACCAACAACAUAUGGGCCCAAAAUCCAUAUCAAUAAGCAAAUUAGGCCCAAAUCUCAUAACGCAAAGCCAAAGACAAAAACAAAUCAAAAUAAAAAUAAAAACAAAUGAGAAAAAUAAAAUAAAAUAAAAUGAAAUAAUAAAAAAAACAAAUAAGUAAAUGAAAUCUUACCUAUCUUCUAACCCACGAACAAAGAUGCAGCAAUCGAUGACCAGGGGGAGUGACAAUGAAGACAGAGACACGUUUAUGGCAGUGCAUAAAAGAAAAUGAAAGAAGAAAAAAAAGAAAAGAAAAAGUAAAAAUAAAUAAAUAAAAUAAAAUAAAAUAAUAAAAUAAAAACUUAAAAAAUAUAGAAAGAAUAAAUGGAAAGAAAAAAAGUAAAAGAAAAAGAAAAGAAAAGAAGAUAAGAAGAAUAAGAAGGGAUGGAGGUUGUGA
rnacentral:lncRNA from 1 species